rnacentral:SRP_RNA from 1 species
GCCUGGCAUGGUGGCGCCUGACUCAGCUACUCAGGAGGCUGAGGUGGGAGGAUCGCUUGAGUCCAGGAGUUCUGUGCUGCAGUGCGCUGUGCGGAUUGGGUGUCCGCACUAAGAUCUGCAUCAGUAUGGUGACCUCCCAGGAAUGGGGGACCACCAGGAUGCCUAAGGAGGGGUGAACCGGCCCAGGUCGGAAACAGAGCAGGUCAAUACUCCCGUGCUGAUCAGUAAGAGAAACUGAAAAUAUCAUAGAGAUUUUGAACUACUGGAGAUUUCCUAAUUUU